rnacentral:rRNA from 1 species
GACGAACGCUGGCGGCGUGCUUAACACAUGCAAGUCGAACGGAAAGGCCCUGCUUUUGUGGGGUGCUCGAGUGGCGAACGGGUGAGUAACACGUGAGUAACCUGCCCUUGACUUUGGGAUAACUUCAGGAAACUGGGGCUAAUACCGGAUAGGAGCUCCUGCUGCAUGGUGGGGGUUGGAAAGUUUCGGCGGUUGGGGAUGGACUCGCGGCUUAUCAGCUUGUUGGUGGGGUAGUGGCUUACCAAGGCUUUGACGGGUAGCCGGCCUGAGAGGGUGACCGGGCACAUUGGGACUGCGAUACGGCCCAGACUCCUACGGGAGGCAGCAGUGGGGAAUAUUGCACAAUGGGCGGAAGCCUGAUGCAGCGACGCCGCGUGCGGGAUGACGGCCUUCGGGUUGUAAACCGCUUUCGCCUGUGACGAAGCGUGAGUGACGGUAAUGGGUAAAGAAGCACCGGCUAACUACGUG